rnacentral:rRNA from 1 species
ACGGCUACCUUGUUACGACUUCACCCCAGUCACGGAUCCUGCCUUCGGCGGCUCCCCCCUUCCGGUUGGGUCACCGACUUCGGGCAUUACCCGCUCCCAUGGUGUGACGGGCGGUGUGUACAAGACCCGGGAACGUAUUCACCGCGGCGUUCUGAUCCGCGAUUACUAGCGAUUCCGGCUUCAUGCAGCCGAGUUGCAGGCUGCAAUCCGAACUGGGACGCUUUUUUUGGGAUUCGCUCCGCGUCGCCGCCUCGCCUCCCUCUGUCUGCGCCAUUGUAGCACGUGUGUAGCCCCGGCCAUAAGGGGCAUGAUGAUUUGACGUCGUCCCCGCCUUCCUCCGGGUUGUCCCCGGCAGUCUCCCUAGAGUGCCCGGCUUCUCCGCUGGCUACUAAGGAUAGGGGUUGCGCUCGUUGCGGGACUUAACCCAACAUCUCACGACACGAGCUGACGACAACCAUGCACCACCUGUCUCCCACGCCCCG